CCCAGGUUGAAGAUUUGGCCAGAGGCGAGCAGUUAAAGUGUCACUUAACAUUCUGGAGAAUGUGAAAUAUACUGCGCGGUGUCAACUCCCCAAAACCAUAAAACUAACUUUAUGGACCUCACGUGACUUUCUCGAGCCAGUGAGGGGUAUCUGUCUGACUUCUCGGCGAUUUUUACGAUCUAACUUCGAGAUAAAACCCCUAUCCAUUUGACAUCUAAAUGUCAUAGCGACUUUUGGGAUAGUUUGCUAUCGACAAAGGGAGACAAAGUCAAGGGGUGAAGGGAAAGGAGGGCCAAGUAGAGCCUCCACGACCCUCGGCUUCCUCCUCACCAGCUCCCCCUCCCUCCAAGUCCAGUAAGAAGUUGGGCCAAGCUGGAAGGGAUUGACCGGGUUGCUUGUCUGGAGAUGGAGCCACUACAGGCGGGCCUGGGCGCCUGGAGUCGGGCAUGAAAGAAAAUAGCGCCUCAUCGCUCUUAUCUAAGCCCAGAGGUCCAGGGGACAACCUGAGGGCCCUGAAGUGUUUCAAUACCAUGUACCAGCUUGACUUCUCUACAUGUCCUUUGGAUUGCCCAAAAGCAAAAUCUCAGAGGGGCCAAGGACCUUCUAGGGCUGGCUCCCUCAGGGCCUCCUAUAGAGCAGCUCCUUGAGUCGGGCCUUAUAGCCACCAGAAAGUCACCUCGCCGCAGGAAAGCUAUAAAGAGCUGCUCCAGAGGCGCCGAAAGAGGGUAGACUUCGCUUGAAAAGAUCGAGAAUGGAGGAGGGGAUCGGCACUCACUUGCAGACAUCAACAGUUUCCAGAAAAUUCGGUUCAAUUCCUUCACCACGGACCCACCAACCAAGGAGCUGGCAAAACCCACUAACCAACCAGGAGAACACAGACCCGGUUUGUCUUUUGACAACCGAGUGGAACUGACGGGGCCGGCGCCUGCCCUGCGGGUCCCCUCCCUUGGCUGAGAAGAAAACCAAAUAAACCUUGAACAGCCUUGGCUUCGGAUGUCUCAAGCGGCCUCAUCCUCUCCCGCGCCUUGGUGGGGUGGGGGUGGGGAUGGCGGUGGGGGUGUCGGCUCUGAUCCCUCCACCCUUUGAUUCAGGGCCCCUGCCCGCUGGAAGCAGAAUUAGACCUUUUUAUAUAUGCCCUAGAGGAAGCCGCUUCCCUUGCCAGCCGCCAGGUUUGGGGCUAGGAUGGGCGGGGACGGGGGCAGUGGGAAAUUGGGGAUGAUGGGUGGAGGAGAGACUUCUGUUCUCUAACUCACACCGGGGAACCAAGAUCUAGCUGAGAGCGUCGGUGUGGGCCCGAAAUCCCCCGAAUCCCGUGGACCCUGCGAGGCCGGGGCUCCAGGCGUCGGGCACCUCUGGACAGUGUCGCGGGGCUUGCGGCGCCGAAGCCGCGUGUCUCCGAACGGACGGUAGAUGGCAGCAGACCGCAUAAUUUGGGUCACAGCGAACUGUCUAAGGGAGGAUUUAUAACCCUCCAAGACUACAGGAGAAAAAGACCUUUAGUAUGGGUGGGUUUGGGAAAUUUUUCCCUUGAGAAUAGUCCCCGAGUGCCGUGGGUGCUGGCGGAGAACUCUAGCUACGAAGCCCAGCGGUCCCUCCAGGCGCCCAGGCCGGGCCUGAACCUAGGGCAUCUACCUGGGGCCACAGAGCCGCCUCUUCCGCGCCACAAGUGGCAGCGUCGUCCCUCUCCUAGCUUAGGACUGAGAUAAUAAAUAUAUCCCCACUUCCAAAACGCCCCAGACCCUGUAACUCCGGGGCAACCAGAGGCCCGAGGCUGAAUGUCCUGCAUCUGGUCUUAAGAAAGAGAAAAGCAAUCACAUGUUCGUGCAAACCAGACUAAAAAUCACAAUUUCUCCUGCCCUCCACAGCCAACAUCACUUAUCUCUUGGCUGGAAGCUUCCCCAGAAGCUCCCUUACCCCAUUUUUAAGUCCUUGCCUCAAGGCUGGCACCUACUUCCACCCCACGAGCUACUUUAGGAAUCUCUGUCACCUGCCCAAUGUUCUCCGCCCUCCCCACCCCCUAGAAGGCCUGACUGAGGGAUAAAAUUGGACACCCGAGGGACGGGACUGUCUGAGCUCAGUGCCAGUUAGCUUUUCAGUUUAGACGCCGCUAGGUCCCAUAAUUGGAUUUUCUUUUUAUUUUCUUCUUUCAUUUCUUUCUCUUUUAUUUUUAUUUACAAGCCUAAAACAAAAAGGCACUUAACAGCUUCUUCACAAUCACCAUGUCUGGACCCAGGAAAGUUUGAAAUGUUAUCAUAUCAGACACACACAUGGCAAUUUUUUCCUCCACCGAAAUCCACACAUCCCAUACCAAUACAACGCAAGUAAUAGAAUCAGUAUCACGCAGAAACCAACAGCUGUAACCUACCGCAUUAAAACCACAAAACUGUCUCCCUGUAGAGCGAGGCUCCCUCCUGCGGGAGUGGCGAGAUACUUGGGCAUUCUCGGGCAGGCUUCCUGCCGUUUCCUCUCCCUCGCCGGCCUCGGCGGAGAUUCCAGGCCCUAUAGAAACCAGGACGUCCCUUAGCGCCACCGCCUCACAUGCCAGUGCUGCCGGGAACCCAGCGAUAUCCGCACCAGCGGAGAAGGUUCCAGGCUGCCGGCGGCGGCGCAGAGAGCGGGAAGAGAGGCUCGGAGGAAGCCCCGGGCGUGGCGUGGUCAGGCUCCGAGAGCGGCCGGGAUGCGGCCACACCGGCCUGGUAAACUCGCACCUCUUAGGAUCUUGCUCCCGGACUCAUUCCCUUCCCCACCCCCUAUUUUAAAGUUUUAUUUGGGUCGUCUGUAUCAAUUUAGAACGAGAUAAAUUAAGACAAAGAAAGUAAAAUAAAUCGAAAUAAAAUAUAGGAAUAGCUCUUGGCGAAAAUGUUUGCCGUGCGAGCAGGAAGCCGUGAGCGCCCUAGUUGGAGGCUGCUCUGCGCCGACUAAGAGGCCUCUACUCCCAGGCCUGGCCUCUACGCAACGCCACCCAAGAAGCCAGAGUGAAUUUGGGUGUUCAUUUUCCCUUUCCUUCCGCUCUUCCUUCAUGUGGGGCCUAGCAGCUUGGAUUUCAGCUCCGUCUUUGUGCCUGGGCUGCAGCCCAGAUCCAGAUCCCGCAGCUUGGUUUCCAGGCCUGAAUGAGGACGCGGGUUUGUGAAACUGUGAGGUUUUUGUUUUGUUGUUUUGUGAGCUUGUGUGACUAAGCAUGUGGGCUUCUGAGUGCGUUUACUUGGGGGCAAAUGUGAAUCUGUGUUUAUAAGCCAAUGUGUGAAUGUACGUUGGUAUCAAUGUGUCUGUGAGUGUGAAUGUGUGUUUACUUGUGAGCGUGUGUGAACAUGAAUGCCUA
rnacentral:lncRNA from 10 species